rnacentral:rRNA from 1 species
UGAAGAGUUUGAUCAUGGCUCAGAUUGAACGCUGGCGGCAGGCCUAACACAUGCAAGUCGAACGGUAACAGGAAGCAGCUUGCUGCUUUGCUGACGAGUGGCGGACGGGUGAGUAAUGUCUGGGAAACUGCCUGAUGGAGGGGGAUAACUACUGGAAACGGUGGCUAAUACCGCAUAACGUCGCAAGACCAAAGAGGGGGACCUUCGGGCCUCUUGCCAUCAGAUGUGCCCAGAUGGGAUUAGCUUGUUGGUGAGGUAACGGCUCACCAAGGCGACGAUCCCUAGCUGGUCUGAGAGGAUGACCAGCCACACUGGAACUGAGACACGGUCCAGACUCCUACGGGAGGCAGCAGUGGGGAAUAUUGCACAAUGGGCGCAAGCCUGAUGCAGCCAUGCCGCGUGUAUGAAGAAGGCCUUCGGGUUGUAAAGUACUUUCAGCGGGGAGGAAGGUGUUGUGGUUAAUAACCGCAGCAAUUGACGUUACCCGCAGAAGAAGCACCGGCUAACUCCGUGCCAGCAGCCGCGGUAAUACGGAGGGUGCAAGCGUUAAUCGGAAUUACUGGGCGUAAAGCGCACGCAGGCGGUCUGUCAAGUCGGAUGUGAAAUCCCCGGGCUCAACCUGGGAACUGCAUUCGAAACUGGCAGGCUUGAGUCUUGUAGAGGGGGGUAGAAUUCCAGGUGUAGCGGUGAAAUGCGUAGAGAUCUGGAGGAAUACCG